rnacentral:rRNA from 1 species
UACGAAGGGGGCUAGCGUUGCUCGGAAUCACUGGGCGUAAAGCGCACGUAGGCGGAUUGCUAAGUCAGGGGUGAAAAUCCUGGAGCUCAACUCCAGAACUGCCUUUGAUACUGGCGAUCUCGAGUCCGGGAGAGGUGAGUGGAACUGCGAGUGUAGAGGUGAAAUUCGUAGAUAUUCGCAAGAACACCAGUGGCGAAGGCGGCUCACUGGCCCCGGUACUGACGCUGAGGUGCGAAAGCGUGGGGAGCAAACAGG